UACGAAGGGGGCUAGCGUUGUUCGGAUUCAUUGGGCGUAAAGGGUGCGUAGGCGGCGGGGUUAGUCAGGUGUGAAAUCUCGGGGCUCAACCCCGAAACUGCACUUGAUACUGCCUUGCUAGAGUACUGGAGAGGAGAUUGGAAUUUACGGUGUAGCAGUGAAAUGCGUAGAUAUCGUAAGGAAGACCAGUGGCGAAGGCGAAUCUCUGGACAGUUACUGACACUGAGGCACGAAGGCCAGGGGAGCAAACGGG
rnacentral:rRNA from 1 species